GUUUCUAAAACAACAGCACUUGAUCCUAUCUGUUUAUUAUGUCUAUAGUUUGUAUGUGAUGAUGUUGCUAAAUUUUGUUGAAGUACAUGUGAAUUUGCAUCAGUAUGAUUUUUUAUGUUUGAUUCGAGUCUGUGCACAGAAAUUAUUGGAGGGAUCGCGAUGCUGCCCUUUUCAUUUUGAGACACUUGUAUCGAGACAUACCUGAGGACCCCAGUUCAUCUGCAUCUUCAGGCGAAGGCAACUCAAAGAGUGAGACUGCUUCCACUGGUUGGUCCGAUCAAAGAGCGGAAGAAGAACUUCCUCAGACAUUCUCAGGCAAAAUGAUGGUUAGAAACUUCUCGAGGAAGGCUAAGAGGUUUAUGAUGAAGCACUGAUUAUAUGCAAACUCAACCUCUGUCGUUAACCUUUGCAAUUAUUGACGAUGCCACAACAUUGAAGGCAAUGGAGAACGACAUAGUGGACAAAAACGACUUUUCCACCACCAUUUUUGAUAGCAAUCUUCAUGGAAGACAUGAAGACAUGGUAGGAGUUUAAUAUUGCCAUCCUCCUCCUUUAAUGGUUCAAUGCAUAUGACACAUUCAUGUUCUUCAGUGUUCUUUUCAGGUAGAUUUUUUGGUAGUUUGUGAACCUUCAAAAUCACUUGUAUUUGAUUAGCUUGAUGGUUCUCGUUGUUGGUAUCUCUGACGGCAGCCUUGACAAAGUUGGUAAUGUCAUCUUGCAAUUUGCCUUUUUGGUCUUCAGGGGGUUCAGCUUUGGAGAGCAAGAAGGAGUGUUGUGAUUCAAAAUUUGUCUUGCGACCAAGAAUCGUAGGAGGGUCAAUAGUUUUGAACAAAAUAUUAUGCAUGAAAGAGGAAACAAGGUGGUGAAUUGAGUCGGCUGAAUGAUUGGUGACAUGUAGUCUAGUGUAACGAAACUUGUAUAGAACAUCAGGUGAGAUGAAACAAUCACAAUCUUCCAAUAAUAUUUCAUCAUUGACUUGGUGUAUUUCAUA